rnacentral:tRNA from 1 species
GUCCGGGUGGCGGAAUAGGUAGACGCGCUAGCUUGAGGUGCUAGUGCCCUUUAUCGGGCGUGGAGGUUCAAGUCCUCUCUCGGACACCG